GCACCGGAUAACAAAGUGGAGUCCUGGCUGAGCACUAACAGUGUGGGACAGGGGAAGUGAGGGGACAUGGGAUGGUGGGAGCCGGGGUUCAGGGAUGGGGGACGAGGGGGGAAACCAAGGUCGGCAAACAGGAGACCACAGAGGACAAGGAGAAAACUGGAGCUGCUGCCAUAGGAGAUGGGGAUCAGGAGAUGAAGGUGGCAAAGAAAGAGGAACCUGAGGACAUCCCCAAGAUUCCAGGGUAAGAUUCCUGAACAUGGAGAUUCCUGCUUCUUACAGCCACAUAAUGAACUGAUGCA
rnacentral:lncRNA from 14 species